AUCGUCAAUGACCUACAUGCUCUUAAGAAGACCUUCACGGAUAAGGAACUUGUCCGAAAAAUUCUCCGAAAUCUCACUCCGGAAUGGCGCUCCAAGGCCGACGUGAUUCAAGAGUCUAUCGGCGUUUCAAAUGUCACCAUCGACGAACUAAGAGGUAAUCUUAAAACCUAUGAAUCUACUAUUCUUAACCCUCCGUUUAAUGAUAAAAGGAAACAAAGAAUCGCCCUCAAGUCAAGCACGGCUGAACCUCAAAAUGAUGAGGACUCAAACAACGGAG
rnacentral:lncRNA from 1 species